rnacentral:rRNA from 1 species
UACGUAGGGACCGAGCGUUGUCCGGAAUCAUUGGGCGUAAAGAGCGUGUAGGCGGCCUUUUAAGUCCUGCGUGAAAUCCUGCGGCUCAACCGCAGACGGUCGUGGGAAACUGGAAGGCUAGAGUGCGGGAGAGGAGAGUGGAAUUCCGUGUGAGCGGUGAAUGCGCAGAUAUCGGGAAGAACACCCGUGCGAAGGCGGCGAUCCUCGGACCGGCAUUGACGCUGAGGCGCGAAAGCCAGG